AGUGAACGCUGGCGGUAGGCCUAACACAUGCAAGUCGAACGGCAGCACAGUAAGAGCUUGCUCUUACGGGUGGCGAGUGGCGGACGGGUGAGGAAUACAUCGGAAUCUACUUUUUCGUGGGGGAUAACGUAGGGAAACUUACGCUAAUACCGCAUACGACCUACGGGUGAAAGCAGGGGAUCUUCGGACCUUGCGCGAUUGAAUGAGCCGAUGUCGGAUUAGCUAGUUGGCGGGGUAAAGGCCCACCAAGGCGACGAUCCGUAGCUGGUCUGAGAGGAUGAUCCGGCCCAAUGGAAACUGGAAACGGGCCCGAACCCUAAGGGAAGCAGCAGUUGGGAAUAAUUGACAAUGGGCGGCAGCCUUGUUCCAGCCAACCGGGUGGGUUGAAGAGGGCCUCCGGUUGGUAAAGCCCUUUGUUCGGGAAAAAAAGGCAGCGGGUUAUAACCCGGCUGUUCGAACGGAACCAAAGGAAAAAGCACCGGCAAACUUGUU
rnacentral:rRNA from 1 species